UCUCUCGGAUGAGCUUGGGGCGAACAAGCAUAUUCUAUUACAAGGUUUUAAUACUAGUUAUACGCCCGUGCCUCUGCCGAUUAAAACUUUCCGGAUGUGGCUUCAUCAGCGGCGCCACAAGCAGCAGGUAACCAUGCAAAUCAAAUGACGAGGAGCAACAAGAAGAAGGAAAUAAAGACCCAGAGGGCCUAGAGCAAGGUCAAGAAGUUAGCUCAUUAGACGGAUGGCUACCCAGGGAGCUGGUAGCAGAUCUGUACUUAGCUCUUACUAAGCAGCCUCUAACCUAAAUGAGUUCAGUUGCCUGGGUUAGUUCCUUAAGGAUAGUGGGGGCCGAAUCAACUGGGUCACCGGUAAAGAACCUCUACUUAAGAAAAAAUCAUAAGAGAAGAAAGCUGGCAGGUUGGAUCCUAGGGUAGAUUCCUGCUGUUGAAUGAUCGACUAGCUUCCUCUUUAGUUCUUUGAUAUUGGGUAAUGAAGUACCACAUAGGUGGAUAUAUAUAUGAAUCCAAAUCUGCCGAAUCACUCAUGUUAUGAUCUUCUACAUCCUGGGUCUUCCCGUUCCGUCAUCUGACUUAUGUUCUUCAUGUAGCAUUCAGACCGAAUGACUC
rnacentral:lncRNA from 1 species